GCAGCGAUUUCACCCGCUGAGACUCGGCGCUCAGGCCCUGCAGCCCUGGCCACGCCCACAGGCCCUCGGACUCCGCCCACCCACAAGCUGCGCCACUUGUCUGCGAGGAGCCUUUCGGCUGCUGCAGCUCAGGCUCCGCCCAGCAACGACCCGGAAAGCCCUCGCCGGCGUGCGGCGCUGCAGGCCUAGUGGGGUUCAGGUUGCUGGCCUUUGAUGGUUACCACAAACUUCACAGCGGAGGGACACCACCCUUGAAUGCCUGUGGCUCACACCGUCAGCCCUUAACCAGAUAUGUGACAGAGUAUCAAGUAGCCCAGGCUGGACUUGCAUCCUGAUCUUCCUGUGCCCACCUCCCAAGUGCUGAGACUCUAGGACAUCACACAGCGUUUAUGCAUCAAUGCCUUGUGCAGGCUAGGAAAGCACUCUUCUGACAGCUACAUCACAAUGCAUUGAUUUUUUGUUUGUUUGUUUGUUGAGACAACAGGGUCUCUCUAUGUAGCCCAGGCUGGUCUUGAACUCCCAGAG